AUGCCUUGUCUAAUGCUCCAGGUUUCCAAAGUAACAACUGUGCAUCUUCCCCUCCGGUUAGCAAAGAAUCAUCUUGCAUAUUCCAACAGAAAGAACGGACUGUAGCAGCAUGCCCUCCGUGAAGGCUGGUCACAUGAAUCAAUCCUGCUGUAGUACAGCUCAGUAAGUGAAUAAUUCCUGUGUUUGUUCCCCCAACAACAAACAAUUUGUCCAUUUUUUCGUGAUACAGGCCACCAACCAAAUAGUCCAAAAUGCCUCCUUUCACAUUAAUUACUUCUCUGACAUCCUGGAUGUUCAAACGUGUAAUUGGUUCAUCAGUAUCCAGAUGAUUAAGAUCCCACCAACAAAAUCCUUCAUCGUGUGUCAUGCAAUAAA
rnacentral:lncRNA from 1 species